rnacentral:rRNA from 1 species
UACGUAGGGGGCAAGCGUUGUCCGGAUUUAUUGGGCGUAAAGAGCGUGUAGGCGGCUAGGUAGGUCCGUUGUGAAAACUCGAGGCUCAACCUCGAGACGCCGGUGGAAACCAUCUAGCUAGAGUCCGGAAGAGGAGAGUGGAAUUCCUGGUGUAGCGGUGAAAUGCGCAGAUAUCAGGAAGAACACCCGUGGCGAAGGCGGCUCUCUGGGCAUUACCUGACGCUGAGGAGCGAAAGCAUGGGGAGCGAACAGG